AGGUUUCUUGUCAUGUUAUCUACCCGUAUUAUGUGGUGUCUUGUUAUCAUCGUCUUACUCAUAAUAAUAUUGAGAGAACUGUCUUUACUGGCUGCUUACAAUCGACAAGCCAGCAGUUCAUCCUGGUUGAAGCAAUCAGAGGAUGACAUCAUGACCUUACUUGUGAAUGAAUCGAGAACGGUGAAGGACGUGAGAGUAGUUGGCAUUCCAGAUUACAAGGAACAGCAAAAUAACGACCAAUGAAGCUACUUGUUCUUUAGAUACUUCCACUAGUUUUGUCAUACUCGUGUGAAGGGAUAUGUAAGGAGUGAUAUCAUUGGAUGGCCAGUUUUCACAUAGGUGAUUGACUUGAGUGGCACGAUUUAUUUUUAAUUAACCAUCUUAAAUUACACAAUUCUUCCUUGAGCUAAUUUAGCAAAAGCAUCCAUGGUGCAAGUGUAAACUUGUUAUUGGUUGACCAUCUCUGCGUGUGACACAAUCUUAAAAUUACCCCCAAUUUAUACUUUAUAUAGUUUUAAUUAUAGUCUCUAAGUCUUAGUAGAACUCAGCAGUAAUAGUUGAAGUCCUCCCAUCUUUAGAAUAAACAUCUUUUAUUGCCAAAAACA